UCGCCUGUAGUAGAUGUUGUAGGUACCGCCUGCCCGGUGAAUUUUCAACGGCCGCAGUAUACUGACUGUGCAAAGGUAGCAUAAUCACUUGUCUCUUAAUUAGAGGCUGGCAUGAAUGGCGUGACGAGGUGGCCCCUAUGUCCAUAAGGUAUUUAAACUUAAUCCUUAGGUCAAAAAGCCUAAAUAAUAUCGUAGGACGAGAAGACCCCAUAGAUCUUAAUAUAUUAUCUUUUGCUUAUAGUAGAGGAUAGUGAGGCACCUGAGCACUAUAUUUAGUUGGGGUGACGCGAAGUUCCAAACACUUUUUCUUUACACAAUAAUAGUAGGAUACAUGAUCCGGCAGGCCGAUUUAAAAACUAAGUUACCUUGGGGAUAACAGCGUAAUCUACUUUCAGAGUCCUAAUCAAAAAGUAGGUGGGCGACCUCGAUGUUGGAUUAAGAGUCCCUCCGUAAGCAGAAAUACGGGCGGGAGGUCUGUUCGACCUAUAUCCUCUUA
rnacentral:rRNA from 1 species